rnacentral:snoRNA from 1 species
AAUCCAUGGUUGGGACAUUUCCUCAAAUACAUUUGGAAACAUUCCCAAGCCUCAUAGAAUGCUUCUUUUGUACCUUAUAUAAAUGUUGAGAUCUCAAACUUGGCGU